rnacentral:rRNA from 1 species
AACGAACGCUGGCGGCGUGGAUAAGACACGCAAGUCGAACGGGACAGACCGAGUAGCAAUACUUGGAAUGUUCAGUGGCGAACGGGUGCGUAACACGUGGAUAACAUUCCGGAAAGCGGGGAAUAGCCCAGGGAAACUUGGAUUAAUACCGCAUGUGGCAGCAAGGCUAAAGACGGGGACCGCAAGGCCUGUCACUUUACGAUUGGUCCGCGGCCUAUCAGCUAGUUGGCGGGGUAAUGGCCCACCAAGGCUACGACGGGUAGCUGGUCUUAGAGGACGACCAGCCACACUGGAACUGAGACACGGUCCAGACACCUACGGGUGGCAGCAGUCGAGAAUCUUUCACAAUGGGGGCAACCCUGAUGGAGCGACGCCGCGUGGAGGAUAAGGUCUUCGGAUUGUAAACUCCUGUCAUGCGAGAACAAGGUACUCAGGCUAAUAACCUGAUUGUUUGAUGGUACCGCAAGAGGAAGAGACGGCUAACUCUGUGCCAGCCGCCGCAGUAACAC